UGGGGAAUAUUGGACAAUGGGGGAAACCCUGAUCCAGCGACGCCGCGUGUGUGAAGAAGGCCUGCGGGUUGUAAAGCACUUUUAGUGGGGAUGAAAAGCCCAGGGCUAAUACCCUUGGGUCUUGACCUUACCCAAAGAAAAAGCACCGGCUAACUCUGUGCCAGCAGCCGCGGUAAUACAGAGGGUGCGAGCGUUAAUCGGAAUUACUGGGCGUAAAGCGUGCGCAGACGGUCUCUUAAGUCGGGUGUGAAAUCCCCGGGCUCAACCUGGGAAUUGCAUUCGAGACUGCGUAGCUGGGGUGCGGAAGAGGGAAGCGGAAUUUCCGGUGUAGCGGUGAAAUGCGUAGAUAUCGGAAGGAACAUCAGUGGCGAAAGCGGCUUCCUGGUCCAGCACCGACGUUCAGGCACGAAAGCGUGGGGAGCAAACAGGAUUAGAUACCCUGGUAGUCCACGCCAUAAACGAUGAGAACUAGACGUUGAGAGGGUAAGCCUCCCAGUGUCGUAGCUAACGCGCUAAGUUCUCCGCCUGGGGAGUACGGCCGCAAGGU
rnacentral:rRNA from 1 species